rnacentral:lncRNA from 10 species
UGUGUUUAUGGCAGCCGGGGAGUACUGUGGUGGUGAUAGUGGGAAGUGAGAUGGCAAAGAGGAAAAGGGCCAGAUGAUGAUUAAAUGCCUUACCUGCCGCAGUGAGAGCAUACACACAUGCUCUGAUAGCACUUCUUAGACGGGAAUUCUGAGGGUCAAAGCAUGCCAUCCUGGGGUUGGCCCAUGGCAGCACCAGCCAUGAAGAGCAGCCAGCCUGGCAGGUGUGGAGAGGCCCCAGAGAACCACAGAAGCAGCCGCAGAAGUGAUGAGUGAGCAAUCUCCAGGGGAGAUCUCUGAAGAAAUUGCUGAUGAAAGUCCAACAGGCUCUUCCAGUUUGUCUGGUCGGUCACAUUUGCUGAAACCUGGAGGAAUUGUUAGUGGAAGCUCAACAGGCCUGACUCAGUCUGACUGUCCAUUCUUCUGGAAGCUGCAGAGAAAAGAAACCUGGAAACCUUAUAUGCUGACAAAAAGGGACACAAUUGGAUAUGAUGGUU